UACGUAGGGUGCAAGCGUUAAUCGGAAUUACUGGGCGUAAAGGGCGCGUAGGCGGUUCGCUAAGUUGGAUGUGAAAACUCUGGGCUCAACCCAGGAGCCUGCAUCCAAAACUGGCGGGCUAGAGUUCUGGAGGGGGUAGCGGAAUUCCUGGUGUAGCGGUGAAAUGCGUAGAUAUCAGGAGGAACACCGGUGGCGAAGGCGGCUACCUGGACAGAAACUGACGCUGAGGCGCGAAGCUAGGGGAGCAAACAGG
rnacentral:rRNA from 1 species